rnacentral:rRNA from 1 species
GAUGAACGCUGGCGGCGUGCCUAAUACAUGCAAGUCGAGCGAAUGGAUUGAGAGCUUGCUCUUAUGAAGUUAGCGGCGGACGGGUGAGUAACACGUGGGUAACCUGCCCAUAAGACUGGGAUAACUCCGGGAAACCGGGGCUAAUACCGGAUAACAUUUUGAACCGCAUGGUUCGAAAUUGAAAGGCGGCUUCGGCUGUCACUUAUGGAUGGACCCGCGUCGCAUUAGCUAGUUGGUGAGGUAACGGCUCACCAAGGCAACGAUGCGUAGCCGACCUGAGAGGGUGAUCGGCCACACUGGGACUGAGACACGGCCCAGACUCCUACGGGAGGCAGCAGUAGGGAAUCUUCCGCAAUGGACGAAAGUCUGACGGAGCAACGCCGCGUGAGUGAUGAAGGCUUUCGGGUCGUAAAACUCUGUUGUUAGGGAAGAACAAGUGCUAGUUGAAUAAGCUGGCACCUUGACGGUACCUAACCAGAAAGCCACGGCUAACUACGUGCCAGCAGCCGCCGCCGUAA